AUCUACCACCACAAAUAAGGUUAUCAGCACCAAAUCUCCAGCCAACCAUAAAUCUCUCCCAGGUUAGUGAGCUCUGGCUGCCCAGCAAUGUGAGCUCAGUCAGGAGGAGGCUCUGAAUUGUUGGGUCUGCUCGAGGUGGUACAGCACAGGCUACACAACCUGAUCAAUGCGUGGAGGUGUGAAUUCUUACCGAAUACUAGUGAAGCUGUCUCCCAGUUCCUGGAACAGCUGCAGAGUCCACUCAGUGGUGGUAGCAGCCAUGCUCGCAUCUCCCUGCAGACUGUUCACAGGCAAGAAUGGUCCGGUCUGGACUUUGCAGUAAUCUCUGAUGUACAAACAAUCUAUCUCCAGCGAUGCAGGAAAGGAGCCUCAGCCCAUCAGUGAUGUGUGUUCUUUUGGCAGCAGGGAGAGCAAAGCUUUACGUGGACAGUGGGAGCUCAGGUUCCUGGCUGCUAGACAUGGAUUUGCCCAGUUUGGUGCAAGGGAAGACCCAGUUCUGCCAUCAGCCCUGUGCAGAAGCAAAGAGCAGACUGGUGCCGGGCCCUUUGCGUGCUAGCACUUUGCUGAUCCAUCAGAGAGGUUUGUGUGUUGUACCAGCAGCUUCUCAGAAUAAUCAAGUCCUCGAAGUGUUUAAGGAAAAUAUGGCAAGAAUGCAAGGCUUCUGGUAGAAAAGUUGUUCAUGUCUUUCCC